AGUCUCUCUCCUGGCAUCCUUAGCUCCUGAGAAGGUAUUUUCAUGCAUGGAUAGUUGUUCAAGUUAAUAUUCCAUGGAAGAAGCACUGGAAUACUGACAUCUUGCUGACACCCCAGUAAAGAGAAUAUUUAAUUCACUUGGCCUCAAAGGAUUUUUAAGAGAGCUGGUGUUCAGCCCCUGCCUCUGAAAAACUGGCUGUGAAGGAGCAAAUAAAGAGACCCAGAGACCAGGAGCAGCAUUUCCAACCAAGUCCAGCAAGGAGCAGCAGAGUGUC